UUUCACUUAUAGUCACUGUGGAAUUCGGCCUCCAAGAUCACAUUUAUGCAGACCAAAAGAGCUACAUGAAGGGAUUUGGCAGCAACGGAAAAUUGAUGUGUGCACUACAUGUUCUAGCUGACAUGAUGAGUUCAUUCUGGUGGUAAAAAGUAUCAUAUGGCAGAACCGGACUGCAUGUCAUGCAUUUUUCAAGGUCACGUGGUGUUUUCAUCUCUGGCAUCAGAACGUUUUUGUGCUUAAAGAUUUCUGCAGAUGAUAUAUGGUGAAUUUCAUUCCAGCAACAGAAACAUGCUACAUGCCAAUUGACAUCGUUGAUUUUUUACUCCAGUAGCAGAAACCCUGUUUAUGCAUCAUUUCACAUAGAGGGUUUUUCUUUCCUGCAGCUGGGUGUUUCUGUAGUUCGUGAUUCCUCCAGUUGAGAUUAUGAAUCGUUUCUCUACUCUAUAAUAAAUUUACUACAAGCCACAUACUUUCCUAGUUGACA